AGCUUUGCACAGUGGCAAUAUCAUAGCCAAUGAGGUUUGUCUGAGGAGUGAUUAUUCCUAAUUGAAAACAUUUCCUAAUAAACAUGCUAAAUAAGUCCAUACAUGAGAAUAUUCUUCAGUACAAUAAUUUUAGUUUUAUAAAA